rnacentral:lncRNA from 1 species
CUAUAUCUCAUCUGUGUGCUAUACUAGUGUCUCUACAUUUCUUGGUUAAGAAGACAAUCAAUCUAUAUAGCAUACAAUAACCUUCACUCGAUAAACGUUAUGAUCCUUUAACGAUGUAUCAUUUGAUCAUAAAUAUAUUUAAGAACUAUUCGAUAAAUCCUCCUUUAUCGAUUACUUUAUAGUUCUGUGGAUUUCAUCACAACAUAAGAGUUCUAAC